GACGAACGCUGGCGGCGUGCCUAAUACAUGCAAGUAGAACGCUGAAGAGAGGAGCUUGCUCUUCUUGGAUGAGUUGCGAACGGGUGAGUAACGCGUAGGUAACCUGCCUGGUAGCGGGGGAUAACUAUUGGAAACGAUAGCUAAUACCGCAUAAAAUUGAUUAUUGCAUGAUAAUUAAUUGAAAGAUGCAACUGCAUCACUACCAGAUGGACCUGCGUUGUAUUAGCUAGUUGGUGAGGUAACGGCUCACCAAGGCGACGAUACAUAGCCGACCUGAGAGGGUGAUCGGCCACACUGGGACUGAGACACGGCCCAGACUCCUACGGGAGGCAGCAGUAGGGAAUCUUCGGCAAUAGGGGGAACCCUGACCGAGCAACGCCGCGUGAGUGAAGAAGGUUUUCGGAUCGUAAAGCUCUGUUGUAAGAGAAGAACGGGUGUGAGAGUGGAAAGUUCACACUGUGACGGUAUCUUACCAGAAAGGGACGGCUAACUACGUG
rnacentral:rRNA from 1 species